GGAUAAUCGAGACUAUGUCUAAGAGGAAAAAUGUCAUUUUGUUUUAGCUUAAUUUACUAGAACAAUCACCAGCAGCAAAAUGGGUGGCACUUUAACAACGAGGAGAAAUACGGGCGUGGAAACUGUUGACAUCGCUGCUAGUAAUGCCUACAGAUACCCACCGAAAACUGGUCAAUACUUUGGCACUCAUUUUAUUAUGGGCGGAGAAAGAUUUGAUUCACCCCAGCCCGGAGAAUACCUGUUUGGUGAAAAUGAGGACCUCAACUUUCUGGGAAAUAAACCUAUUCCUUUUCCAUACCCAGUUCCUGGUGGUAAUGAACCAACCAAGACCCUGAAAAGCCUUGUGUACAUCCGGAAAGAUUCUCUGCGUCUUGUCAAGUCGGCCCUCUGGGAGAAGGUGCCACUCGACAAAGAUGAGAAGGAGUGCAGCAGUCCACAGUACAACAUCGAGUUCACGUUUGAUGCCGACUGUCGGUGCACCGUGACAAUCUACUACCUCGCCACUGAGGAGGUCAGCAGCGGACAACUCAUCUACCAUGCGAAAGAUGCUUCAAUGACGUCCGAGACAUACCACUACAAGAAGGGGGCGGGUCAGGUGUUCUCGCAGUCCAGUCACAUCAUCGACCCCAGCAGACACCCCGCUGAUGAGUGGCUGUUCUCUGCUGAAAAGGAGACCAUACCUGUUGUUAUACAGUGCUGUGUAGAAGAGGAAGAACAUGCAGGACAUUGUCAUGUGACAUUUGCCUCCAUUGAGAAAACAUCGGACAACAACUACUCACUGAAACCUUUGAAGCAGAAACAAUUCGUUGAUGGGCUGUCCUACUUGCUCCAAGAAAUAUAUGGCAUAGAGAACAAAAACAUGGAACGAUCCAAGUUGGACCCCGACGACGAUGUCGAGGACAGUGGAGCGGAGUGUGUCAUCUGUAUGUCAGACAUGCGUGACACGCUCAUCCUGCCGUGUCGUCACCUGUGUCUGUGCAGCGCGUGUGCCGAGUCUCUGCGGUACCAGGCCAGCAUGUGUCCCAUCUGCCGCGUCAAGUUCCGUGCCCUGCUCCAGAUACGAGCCAUGAGGAAGAAGCUGCCUCCAUCCACCUUGCAGCCGGGUGAGAACACUGAGGAGACCGCAGUAAGUCAGGAGGGAGUUCCGGCGGGAUACGAAGCAGUCACUCUGAUUGAAGCUUUGAAUGGACAGUGUGUGCCUCCACCUGGUGAAAGUGGUCCUCCCAUGCCUAUUGUCACACCAGGCACGAUGUUUACUCUGGAAAACUCGAAGAAGAAACCUUCACAGGUGAAGGACAUGACCCGGAUUGAGUACCAGAAGGAGAUGGACCCCGAGAAAGAUCUCAGUGUAAAGACGAAACCAGACAAACAAACUAACAUCCCAAACACCGAGGUCGCCCCAGAAGUUGUCACUCCACAAGUGGCGGAAAUAGACGAAAAAUCAGUCACUUCACCCAAACCAGCUGAUAUUGAAUAUUACGCAGAAGAUAAGACCGUAACUCCUCCAGAGCCAGAGGAAGAUUACACAAACGAUGAAAGGAAGAAAUCUGCAUCUAAGAAGUCUCUUGCUACGUAUGAAGACGGCGAUGGUGUGGGUGUUCAAGAUGAAGCCAUCAAGCUGUACAAGAUGGCCACCAUGGAGAUGGAGGUGGAUGAGCGCGGAGAUGGAAAGAUGAUCGGCGCGGUGUCGCUGGGUCACAUGGCCGACGAUGAACACGAAGACACGUCCGAGGCGGAGCCAGAACCGGAUUAUGAUGAUCCGGACGAGGACCAGCACGCCACGGAAGACACAGGCAAGUUGGACUCGUACGAGACUGGUGUGGUGUACCACGUGGCUGGACACGGAGACGACGGACAGUACCACGCGUUGAGCGUCAUCGAGCACAUGAACCUAUCGGACGCGCCCGGCAGUGCCAACAGCAGCACGGAGGCGUCGAGCUAUGGCAGCAACAGUAGCUCACAGGCCCUGCUCACCCACGUGGAGACACCCGAGGAGAGCGUUGGUACCAAACGCACAGAUGUGUAGGUGCCUCACAGAUGUGUAGGUGCCUCACAGAUGUGUAGGUGCCUCACAGAUGUGUAGGUGUCUCACAGAUGUAUAGGUGCUUCACAGGUGUGUAGGUGUCUCACAGAUGUGUAGGUGUCUCACAGAUGUGUAUUGUGUCUCACAGAUAUGUAGGUGUCUCAAAGAUGUGUAGAUAUCAGACAGAUGUGUAGGUGCCUCACAUGUGUAGGUGCCUCAGAUGUGCAGGUGCCUCAGAUGUGUAGGUGUCUCACAGGUGUGUAGGUGUCUCACAGAUGUGUAGAUGUUUCACAGAUGUGUAGAUGUUUCACAGAUGUGUAUUGUGACUGACAGAUGUGUAUUGUGUCUCAGGUGUGUGGGUGUCCUACACAUGUUUAGAUGCCCUACAGAUGUGUAGAUGUCCUACAGAUGUGAGAUGUCCUACACAUGUUUAGAUGCCCUACAGAUGUGUAGAUGUCCUACAGAUGUGAGAUAUCCCACAGAUGUGUAGAUGUUGGUGCUUUGUGACAUCACAAGUCAAAACUACAAGACAGUUAUUGUAAAUAUCAUUCAGGCGAUAAUAUAGAUUGGAUAUUAGGUAUUGGGACUAUGUGACAUCACCAAUGUAAACUACAAAACUGUUGUUGUACAUAAUGUUCAGGCAUCAUUCUAGAUUAGAUUAUAGAUGUUGGUGUUUUGUGACAUCACAAAUGAAAACUUCAAAACAGUUGUACAUAGAGUUAAGGCGAUAUCCCUGUAAAGCUAUCACAUGAUUAGGUAUAUAGAUGUUGGUGGUUUGUGACAUCACAAAUGAAAACUUCAAGACAAUAGUUGUGCUUAGAGUUGAGACGAUAUCCUUAUAAAGCUAUGAUUACAAAAGUCAUUAUUGUCAUAUACUCCAUUUAAAUCAUGUGUCACAGUGUACAGAAUACAUUACCCUUUUGACCAAAUACAUAACUACAUUACACCAGAACUCAUCAUUUUCUUUUACAAAACCCAUAACUACAAAAUACACAAUUCUUCACAAAACAUAUAACUACGAUAGAGCAACACAAAAACCAUAUUCAAAUUAGUUUGAAUAUUUUACAUCAUAUUUUAUUUAGCCCAAAGAGUCUUCAAGGUAUACAAAUUUACAGAAUUUGAAUCAAUCCAAGUAUAAAAUACUAGCAGACAUUUUUUACAUAUUGGUGAACCAUCAAUGGCUGUUUAACGACACCCCAGCACAGACAAUAAGUGUAUGACUUUGUGAUACAUCAGUGAACCACGUUACAGGCAAAUGUUCAUUACAUGUCAUCAAAGCAGUAGUUACAACUUACAUGUGACAUAAGCAAAUGUCAGUGAUAUGUGUUACAAGCUGAAGUUAAACAUGUUCAAACAAAGAUUGUAUUCAAAACAGUAGUUGCCGAUCUAGAAGUUAUGACUUGUGCAUUCAGUUACAUGUUACAACCAUACGUUAGUUUCAUGUAUUUUAAAGAAGUUAUGAACUAUAAUAAACAGAAGCAUGCUAUGUGUUUCUAGCUGUAUUACAUUACCUGUACAUGUGUAUUACAAACUAUAUUACACAGUGCUUGAAAUUAAGGCAAUUUUGAAAUGUUUUUACUUGCUCACUUGUAAUGGUUAUUAAUUUUAUCCAGCAGCAAAAACUGACAUCAAUCCGUAAAGUUCCUGACCUUCAACAAUCCAUGUUACAACUAUAGCAGUUGUCUGUGUCAAUGUUAAAUUCGAGCCCUGUUAGAUUAUGGUAUAAUUUUGCUAGUUAUAUCAAUUUGGUAUUACAUUACAUGUGUUACAAGCUAUAUUACAAUGUUGCCAGCUAUAUUGGUAUUACAUUACAUGUGUUACAAGCUAUAUUACAAUGUUGCCAGCUAUAUUGGUAUUACAUUACAUGUGUUACAAGCUAUAUUACAAUGUUGCCAGCUAUAUUGGUAUUACAUUACAUGUGUUACAAGCUAUAUUACAAUGUUGCCAGCUAUAUUGGUAUUACAUUACAUGUGUUACAAGCUAUAUUACAAUGUUGCCAGCUAUAUUGGUAUUACAUUACAUGUGUUACAAGCCAUGUUAAAUGUUGCCAGCUAUAUUGGUAUUACAUUACAUGUGUUACAAGCUAUAUUAAAGGGUGAUUAGUUACAUAACAGUACAUAAUUAUGCUACUAGCAGAACUGUGUACUGUUUGGGAUUUUAGAUUGUGUAGGCCUCAUGGUUUCAUAGAAAUGACUGUUUCUAAAAGAUCUGUUGCCCACUGUCAUAUCUCUGCUUACCGGUAAUCAUUUUCGAAUCACAUAGCAUGGACCUGAAAAAGUGUUGCCCAUGAAAUUUGAAGUCCUGAGGGCUGUUUGUGCGUCAUGUAUAAUAAAGCAAAUUACUUACAGCAGUUAUUUUGUGUAUAGCUUUGACUGCUGUGACAGAUGAAGUAAUAUUGUGAUUGUGCUGUACCAGCAGAAAAGUAUUGCUAUAAAAAUCUAAAUGUAUAAAUUAUGCAAUAAUGGGUUGAUGUAUAUAUAUAUUGUAAAUAAAUGUACGUUGUCACUGGAGUUAUAGGUCCGAUUCAGAAUAAACAGUGUAUAUUGUA
rnacentral:misc_RNA from 1 species